rnacentral:tRNA from 1 species
AUCUAAUGAUCUUUCAGCUAUUAGGUAAGUAUGGGUAUUAACUUAUAAAGUUGUUGCAGGUUCGAUCCCUGUUUUACCU